UACGGGGGGGGCAAGCGUUGUUCGGAAUUACUGGGCGUAAAGGGCUCGUAGGCGGCCAACUAAGUCCGACGUGAAAUCCCCAGGCUUAACCUGGGAACUGCGUCGGAUACUGGAUGGCUUGAAUUCGGGAGAGGGAUGCAGAAUUCCAGGUGUAGCGGUGAAAUGCGUAGAUAUCUGGAGGAAUACCGGUGGCGAAGGCGGCAUCCUGGACCGAGAUUGACGCUGAUGAGCGAAAGCUAGGGGAGCAAACAGG
rnacentral:rRNA from 1 species